rnacentral:rRNA from 1 species
GCGCGGAUCUUCCAGAGAUUAGAGUUUGAUCCUGGCUCAGAUUGAACGCUGGCGGCAGGCCUAACACAUGCAAGUCGAACGGUAACAGGAAGAAGCUUGCUUCUUUGCUGACGAGUGGCGGACGGGUGAGUAAUGUCUGGGAAACUGCCUGAUGGAGGGGGAUAACUACUGGAAACGGUAGCUAAUACCGCAUAACGUCGCAAGACCAAAGAGGGGGACCUUCGGGCCUCUUGCCAUCGGAUGUGCCCAGAUGGGAUUAGCUAGUAGGUGGGGUAACGGCUCACCUAGGCGACGAUCCCUAGCUGGUCUGGGAGGAUGACCAGCCACACUGGAACUGAGACACGGUCCAGACUCCUACGGGAGGCAGCAGUGGGGAAUAUUGCACAAUGGGCGCAAGCCUGAUGCAGCCAUGCCGCGUGUAUGAAGAAGGCCUUCGGGUUGUAAAGUACUUUCAGCGGGGAGGAAGGGAGUAAAGUUAAUACCUUUGCUCAUUGACGUUACCCGCAGAAGAAGCACCGGCUAACUCCGUGCCAGCAGCCGCGGUAAUACGGAGGGUGCAAGCGUUAAUCGGAAUUACUGGGCGUAAAGCGCACGCAGGCGGUUUGUUAAG